GACGAACGCUGGCGGCGUGCCUAAUACAUGCAAGUAGAACGCUGAAGGAGGAGCUUGCUCUUCUGGAUGAGUUGCGAACGGGUGAGUAACGCGUAGGUAACCUGCCUGGUAGCGGGGGAUAACUAUUGGAAACGAUAGCUAAUACCGCAUAACAGUAGAUGUUGCAUGACAUUUACUUAAAAGGUGCAAUUGCAUCACUACCAGAUGGACCUGCGUUGUAUUAGCUAGUUGGUGGGGUAACGGCUCACCAAGGCGACGAUACAUAGCCGACCUGAGAGGGUGGACGGCCACACUGGGACUGAGACACGGCCCAGACUCCUACGGGAGGGAGCAGGAGGGAAUCUUCGGCAAUGGACGGAAGUCUGACCGAGCAACGCCGCGGGAGGGAAGAAGGUUGUCGGAUCGUAAAGCUCUGUUGUAAGAGAAGAAAGAGUGUGAGAGUGGAAAGUUCACACUGUGACGGUAUCUUACCAGAAAGGGACGGCUAACUACGUG
rnacentral:rRNA from 1 species